rnacentral:rRNA from 1 species
UACGGGGGGGGCAAGCGUUGUUCGGAAUUACUGGGCGUAAAGGGCUCGUAGGCGGCCAACUAAGUCGGACGUGAAAUCCCCAGGCUCAACCUGGGAACUGCGUCCGAUACUGGAUGGCUUGAAUUCGGGAGAGGGAUGCAGAAUUCCAGGUGUAGCGGUGAAAUGCGUAGAUAUCUGGAGGAAUACCGGUGGCGAAGGCGGUUCUCUGGGACGGGUACUGACGCUGAGACGCGAAAGCGUGGGGGAGCGAAACAGGG